rnacentral:rRNA from 1 species
ACUUUCAAACAACGGAUCUCUUGGUUCUGGCAUCGAUGAAGAACGCAGCGAAAUGCGAUAAGUAAUGUGAAUUGCAGAAUUCAGUGAAUCAUCGAAUCUUUGAACGCACAUUGCGCCCUGUGGUAUUCCGCAGGGCAUGCCUGUUCGAGC